ensembl:lncRNA novel transcript
GGAACACCGCUCCUGGAGCGAUUGUUUCAAUGUUGCUUGCUCGGAAUGGCCCUCCUGAGCAAACAACAGACGGUGCUCAAAGUAACAACUGGACUUAAUAAAAGGAGCUUACACGAAGGAGGAGCUGAAGGCUGCUGUGGUCGUGUGCUGGGGGCUGCCCCAGCUCCAGCUGCAGGACCCCGGCCGUCUGCCUUCCGACUCCGGUGAUGAUUCUUCCUGCGGUCUGAAUAUUGCUAUGAGCAUUGCAAGCAUUCUGAUAGUAGAUGAGAAAACUAAUGGACUGAUGGACUGAUGGAUGGAUGGAUGGAUGGAUGGAUGGACGGAUGGAUGAUGAAUCUUCUAUCUGAGCAGUAAAGUUGAUAAAAGUGAGCAGGAAUCAGAGGAAUGAAGAAUGAAGUUGUCCUCAGGAAAUAAAAGGGGAACCAAGGCUUGCCAGCAAGAAAAUAAGAGGAGACCUGGCAGUGAAUGAAUGAUACAUUUGAUUAAGAAUAAAAAUUUCAGUGUUACUGGGGGAUUUUCUUCACUCAUUUAAGUGAAAUAAAUAACUAGGAGUUAGAAUGUGACCAGACAAUAGAUGGUCUUAAAUAUACCAAUAAGAUUAGGCCUUGUGUUCAAAAUAUAUUUAGCAUAGACAGUAUUUUGAGGCAUCAUAAUUAUUUAAUAGUAAUAACAAAGUUUAUGGAGCAUUUACUGUAUGUCAGGCCCUCUUCUAACUACUUUAGAUGUUAAUCCAGUUUAACCUCCCCAGCAUCCAAGUAGCAACAUACCACAGGCCAGCCAGUGAUGUCUGUCUGCCCUUUUACGUAGGCAAUAAGAAGUUGCAUUUUUCUGUCAAAAAUUUAAAAACAAUUGUAAAACUAUUGUUAUCCCCAUGUAACCAAUAUUGGUAACUCUUUAAAAUGUCAAUGAUAAAAUAGUAGUUCCUGAAACAAAUAAUUUGUUGGCUUAAAUCCUAUAAUUGCUGAUACUGUGAGUUUUGAGUGGCUUUUAUUCUGUCAUUGUGUAUGGUCAGUUGAAGUUUUUAUUAGUUUAAAAUUUCAAACAAUGAAAUAGUGAGAAAUGCAUGAUGGGCUAUUGUGCCUGGUACAGAAAAUAGUUUACUGCAUUUUAAUAAUAUCCUUAGAAUUAAAAUGCCUUAUUCUAUUUAAUUGUUACUUAAUUCUUCAUUUUUGUGACCGACUAAUACAUAGGUAUAUAUACUCUCCCUUUUAUCAAAAAAUCAAUGUAAUUUAAAAAUAUUAAUUUAUUACUCUAUUAUAAUUAUGUUUAAUUUGCUGGCAUAAUUAUAUAUAUACAAAAUUCAAUAAAAUAAAAUGAUCACUG